GGAGUUUGGACCGUGUCUCAGUUCCAAUGUGGGGGACCUUCCUCUCAGAACCCCUACCGAUCGAGGGCUUGGUGGGCCGUUACCCCGCCAACUACCUAAUCGGACGCAUCCCCACUCCAUGGCCGGGUAAACCUUUAGUUCCUCGUUAGAUGUCUGCAAAGGACCCCAUAGGGCAUUAAUCCGCUUUUCAACGGGCUAUUCCCUAGCCAUGGGCAGGUUGGAUACGCGUUACUCACCCGUGCGCCGGUCGCCAUCAUUGGUAGCAAGCUACCAAUAUGCUGCCCCUCGACUUGCAUGUGUUAAGCCUGUAGCUAGCGUUCAUC
rnacentral:rRNA from 1 species